rnacentral:miRNA from 1 species
UAGGCCACUGGAGGUGGAAUUGU